UAAGGGAUGGCUUAGUGAACAAAAGCACUUGUCUUUUAAACAUGGGACCUUAGUUCAAUUCCUAGGACCUUUG
rfam:Cricetulus griseus cell line CHO-K1, whole genome shotgun sequence.